rnacentral:rRNA from 1 species
CCCAGACUCCUACGGGAGGCAGCAGUGGGGAAUAUUGCACAAUGGGGGAAACCCUGAUGCAGCGACGCCGCGUGAGUGAAGAAGUAUUUCGGUAUGUAAAGCUCUAUCAGCAGGAACGAGACAAGACGGUACCUGACUAAGAAGCCCCGGCUAACUACGUGCCAGCAGCCGCGGUAAUACGUAGGGGGCAAGCGUUAUCCGGAAUCACUGGGUGUAAAGGGAGCGUAGACGGCUGAGCAAGCCUGAAGUGAAAGGCAGGGGCCCAACCCCUGGACUGCUUUGGGAACUGUACGGCUGGAGUGCAGGAGAGGUAAGUGGAAUUCCUAGUGUAGCGGUGAAAUGCGUAGAUAUCAGGAGGAACACCAGUGGCGAAGGCGGCUUGCUGGACGAUGACUGACGUUGAGGCUCGAAAGCGUGGGGAGCAAACAGGAUUAGAUACCCCAGUAA